rnacentral:rRNA from 1 species
GGAAGGUGAGGAUGACGUCAAGUCCGCAUGGCCCUUAUGCCUGGGGCUACACACGUGCUACAAUGGUCGAUACAGAAGGCAGCGAAAUCGUGAGAUGGAGCAAAUCCCGAAAGUCGAUCUCAGUUCGGAUUGUAGUCUGCAAUUUGACUACAUGAAGCCGGAAUUGCUAGUAAUGGCGUGUCAGCAACAACGCCGUGAAUACGUUCUCGGGCCUUGUACACACCGCCCGUC